GGUGACUAGUUGACAGCGUUAGGGAGGGAAGGGGUGACUAGUGACAGAGUGAGGAAGGGGGUGACUAGUGACAGAGGGAGGGGUGACGAGGGACAGAGUGAGGGAGGUGGUGACUAGUGACUAGUGACAGUCACCACCUCCCUCACUCUGUCACUAGUCACCACCUCCCUCACUGUGUCACCCCCUCCCUCUGUCACUGGUCACCCACUCCCUCCCUCACUCUGUCACCAGUCACCCCUUCCUUCCCUCUGUCACCAGUCACCCCUUCCUUCCCUAUGUCACUAGUCACCCCUUCCCUCACUCUGUCACCUGUCACCCCCUCACUCUGUCA